AAAGUUCAUAAUGAUGCAAAAGUUCAUAAUGAUACAAAAGUUCAUAAUGAUACAAAAGUUCAUAAUGAUACAAAAGUUUAUAAUGAUACAAAAGUUUAUAAUGAACAAAUAGUAAAUGCAAAAAUAAACCAUUCAUUAGAAGCAGAACGUUUUGAAAUAGAUACAAGUAUUAUAGCGUUACAAAAAAAGAGAUUUGUAAAUGUACAACAUUCAACUAACAACACAGCAACCACUAUGUAUUCUCAAAAAGAAGGUCAACCUAUGUUAGAUAAUACAGUAGUUGAUAUGCUGUUGGUACGUGUGGAUACAGAGAUAGACGCAGGUGCGGGUACGGUAACGGGUACUGGAAGGGGUACAACAAGUACAGAUACAGUAACAUGUAGAAGUACAGAUACAGUAACAUGUAGAAGUACGGAUACAGUAACAUGUAGAAGUACGGAUACAGUANNNNNNNNNNGAUACAGUAGCAUGUAGAAGUACGGAUACAGUAGCAUGUAGAAGUACAGCUAUGAACACAACUAUGGGCACAGUUAUUGGCACAACUACGGGAACAACUAUGGGAACAAACAAACCCGAUGAUUAUAAUUUGGUUUAUUGCAACACCAAACAAAACGACGAAAAAAAAAAAAAAAAAAAAAAAAAAAAAAAAAAUAAUAUUAUUAAAUAAAAAUGGUAAUAAUAAUAAUAUCAACAAUGGUAAUAACACGAACAAUAAUAAUAACACGAAUAAUGAUAAUAACACGAAUAAUGAUAAUAACACGAAUAAUGAUAAUAACACGAAUAAUGAUAAUAACACGAAUAAUGAUAAUAACACGAAUAAUGAUAAUAACACCAACAAUGGUAAUAACACGAAUAAUGAUAAUAACACGAAUAAUGAUAAUAGUAAUGAGAAAAAAAAUAAAAUUUAUACUUUAAAAAAAACAAAUGAAGAAAAUGCUUUCCAAAAGGAAAAUAAUCAAAACAAAUUAAAUGAAUAUCCUGACAAUGUUAAUAAUAAUAAUGAUAAUAAUCAGUUACCCAACUAUUGUCUGAAUUAUAAUAUUAACAAGGAUAUACAUAUGGACGAGCUAAUUGAUACAUCGGGUGACGUAGAAAACAAUAAAAAAGAUGAAAGUAUUGCCUUCGAUAAAGUAAAAAAAAUAAAAAAUAAAAAACAUGUAAAUAUUAAAAAAUAUAGCAAUUUACAAAUUUUAAAAAAUUAUUAUAUUAAAAGUGCAAAGAUAUUAUUUGAUGAACCCUGUGUAUUAGUUGGAAAUGGUAAAAAUUAUAAAAGCAUGAAAGAUUGUUAUUCUCUUUGUAUGAGAUUAAGACAUGUAAAUUUUGUAACAAUGUCUGACCACUAUGCUAUUAAAAUUGAUUUAAGAUUGAAAAAAAAAGCACAACUUAAUAAAACAAAAUUAUAAUAACAUAUUUUUAAUUUAUUAACUUGUAAGUUACAGGACUAUACACACAUUUUACUAAUAUGUUAUAAUAUAUAUAUGCGCGUCUGCAUAUACCCAUUUUAACUAAUUUGUUAACGCUUUUAAAUUUUAAUUUAUAUUUUACGAUUAGGUAAAAAAAAAAAAAAAUAUAUAUAUUCUCAUAUUAUAUUUAUGUUAAAGACUUUUUGUAUAUUUUACUUAUUUUACGAACUUCCUAAUAGGAAUAAUUUUUACCGGCUUUAUUUAAUUUUUUUUUUUAAUUAAUUUUUAAUAUACCUGCUAUUAUAGUUUUUAAAAAGCAUAUUUGAUCAUUUUUUUUUUUUUCAUUAAUUACAACUAAUUUGUUAUAACUAAUGAGUAAUAAGUAAUGAGUUCAUUUUUUUUUUUUUUUUUUUUUUCGUUACUAUUUUCUGUAGUUUUUAUUAUACACAUAAAUACAUAUACAUAUAUAUACAUAUACAUAUAUAUACAUAUACAUAUAUAUACAUAUAUAUAUAUAUAUAUAUAUACACCCUUUUGGUGUUAAUUUGACAUGUUUUAAAAUUACACUAUGCGUUUAUACAUAAUAAUUACAAUUCAGCAACUUUUUUUUUAAAACAUUUAGACAAACAUAUUUAUAAAUAGUUCAUUAAAAAAUAAAAUAUAAAUAAAAAAUAAUAAAUACA
rnacentral:lncRNA from 1 species